rnacentral:rRNA from 1 species
GCCCCGAGAUCGAAAGCUCCGGCGCCAGAGGAUGGGUCUGCGGCCUAUCAGGUAGUAGUGGGUGUAGCGUACCUACUAGCCUACGACGGGUACGGGUUGUGAGAGCAAGAGCCCGGAGAUGGAUUCUGAGACACGAAUCCAGGCCCUACGGGGUGCAGCAGGCGCGAAAACUUUACAAUGCCGGCAACGGCGAUAAGGGGACCUCGAGUGCCAGGUUACAAAUCUGGCUGUCGUGAUGCCUAAAAAGCAUUGCAUAGCAAGGGCCGGGCAAGACCGGUGCCAGCCGCCGCGGUAACACCGGCGGCUCGAGUGGUAACCGUUAUUAUUGGGUCUAAAGGGUCUGUAGCCGGCCGGAUAAGUCUCUUGAGAAAUCCAGCAGCUCAACUGUUGGGCUUUCAGGAGAUACUGUUCGG